rnacentral:rRNA from 1 species
AUUGAACGCUGGCGGCAGGCCUAACACAUGCAAGUCGAGCGGAUGAAGGGAGCUUGCUCCUGGAUUCAGCGGCGGACGGGUGAGUAAUGCCUAGGAAUCUGCCUGGUAGUGGGGGAUAACGUCCGGAAACGGGCGCUAAUACCGCAUACGUCCUGAGGGAGAAAGUGGGGGAUCUUCGGACCUCACGCUAUCAGAUGAGCCUAGGUCGGAUUAGCUAGUUGGUGGGGUAAAGGCCUACCAAGGCGACGAUCCGUAACUGGUCUGAGAGGAUGAUCAGUCACACUGGAACUGAGACACGGUCCAGACUCCUACGGGAGGCAGCAGUGGGGAAUAUUGGACAAUGGUCGAAAGCCUGAUCCAGCCAUGCCGCGUGUGUGAAGAAGGUCUUCGGAUUGUAAAGCACUUUAAGUUGGGAGGAAGGGCAGUAAGUUAAUACCUUGCUGUUUUGACGUUACCAACAGAAUAAGCACCGGCUAACUUCGUG